GGCUGGUUAGCUCAGUCAGUUGAGCGUGGCACUAACAAUGCCAAGGUUGCGGGUUCAAUUCCCGUUCGGCCC
rnacentral:tRNA from 1 species